UCAGCAUCAUUCUGUAUAAUGGGAGUGGCUCAAGGCCCAACUACUGUGGGGUACUGAGCCGCUCCCAUUAUACAGAAUGAUGCCGACA